GAAUGUUACCGUGCUCGCUCAUAUACUAAAACUGGAACGAUACCAAGAGUAUUAGCAUGGCCUCUGUGCAAGGAUGACACGCAAAUUCCUGAAGCGUUCCAUUAAAAA